rnacentral:lncRNA from 1 species
AUGCAAAGAAAUAGAGGAAAACAACAGAAUGGGAAAAGACUAGAGAUCUCUUCACAGAACAUUAGAGAUACCAAGGGAACAUUUCAUGCAAAGAUGGGCUCAAUAAAGGGCAGAAAUGGUAGGGACCUAACAGAAGUAGAAGAUAUUAAGAAGAGGUGGAAAGAAUAUGCAGAAGAACUGUACAAGAAAGAUCUUUACGACCCAGAUAAUCACGAUGGUGUGAUCACUCACCUAGAGCCAGACAUCCUGGAAUGUGAAGUCAAGUGGGGCUUAGGAAGCAUCAUUAUGAACAAAGCUAGUGGAGGUGAUGGAAUUCCAGUUGAGCGAUUUCAAAUCCUGAAAGAUGAUGCUGUGAAAGUGCUGCACUCAAUAUGCCAGCAAAUUUGGAAAAUUUGGAAAAUUCAGCCUUGGGCACAGGACUGGAAAAAGUCAGUUUUCAUUCCAAUCCCAAAGAAAGGUAAUGCCAAAGAAUGCUCAAACUACUGCAUAAUUGCACUCAUCUCAUAUGCUAGUAAAGUGAUGCUUAAAAUUCUCCAAGCCAGGCUUCAGCAAUACGUGAACCAUGAAAUUCCAGAUGUUCAAGCUGGUUUUAGAAAGGGCAGAGGAACCAGAGAUCAAAUUGCCAACAUCUGCUGGAUCAUUGAAAAAGUAAGAGAGUUCCAGAAAAACAUCUACUUCUGCUUUAUUGACUGUGCCAAAGGCUUUGACUGUGUGGAUCACAACAAACUGUGGAAAAUUCUUCAAGAGAUGGGAAUACCAGACCACCUAACCUUCCUCUUGAGAAACCUAUAUGCAGGUCAGGAACCAACAGUUAGAACUGGGCGUGGAACAACAGGCUGGUUCCAAAUAGGAAAAGGAGUAUGUCAAGGCUGUAUAUUGUCAUCCUGCUUAUUUAACUUAUAUGUAGAGUACAUCAUGAGAAACGUUGGGCUGGAUGAAGCACAAAAUGGAAUCAAGAUUGCUGGGAGAAAUAUCAAUAAACUCAGAUAUGCAGAUGACACUACCCUUAUGGCAGAAAGUGAAGAAGAACUAAAGAGCCUCUUGAUGAAAGUGAAAGAAGAGAGUGAAAAAGUUGUCUUAAAGCUCAACAUUGAGAAAACUAUCAUGCCAUCUGGUCCCAUCAUUUCAUGGCAAAUAGAUGGGGAAACAGUGGAAACAGUGGCUGACUUUAUUUUUCUGGGCUACAAAAUCACUGCAGAUGGUGAUUGCAGCCAAGAAAUUAAAAGAUGCUUACUCCUUGGAAGGAAAGUUAUGACCAACCUAGAUAGCAUAUUAAAAAGCAGAGACAUUACUUUGUCAACAAAGGUCCAUCUAGUCAAGGCUAUGGUUUUUCCAGUGGUCAUGUAUGGAUGUGAGAGUUGGACUGUGAAGAAAGCUGAGCACUGA